rnacentral:rRNA from 1 species
GACAGAGGGUGCAAACGUUGUUCGGAAUUACUGGGCGUAAAGCGCGUGUAGGCGGCUCUGCAAGUCGGGUGUGAAAUCCCAUGGCUCAACUAUGGAAGUGCACUCGAAACUGCAGGGCUAGAGUCCUGGAGAGGAAGGUGGAAUGCUUGGUGUAGAGGUGAAAUUCGUAGAUAUCAAGCGGAACACCGGUGGCGGAAGGCGGCCUUCUGGACAGUGAC